CCGCAGCAGGUUUGAACACUUUUAUUUACAUAUCUGUGAGUGUUUCUACUGCCGACUGAUGCAGGAGAGUGUGAACCAGUGAAGGCAGCAACCUCCUCCUUUUUCCUUCUCCUCUUCCUGAGCAUGAAUGCAGCGUGAGCAGCUGGUCUUCACAUCAGAUGUUUUUCAUUCACCUUCAUAUCAUCAUCCUGGAGAGCAGCUGGUAACAGGUGAUUUAUCUCCAGUUACAGAGCUCCAACAUGUUUCACCUGAAGGACAGACGCCACUUUGACCUCCAGCUCAGCUUCAGCACUGUCGUAGUUUCCUGUCACGCCGUCGUCGUCGUACUUCUGCUGCUGCUGCUCUGAAGGUCAGCCUCUCCUGAUUGGUCCAUCUAAGCCUGUAGUUGCAGUACCUGGUGAUGACGUCAUCUUGCCGUGUCACCUGGAGGCAGCUGUGGAUGCCGUUUCGAUGUCCAUGGAGUGGACACGACCUGACCUGAAACCCAGGUUUGUCCAUGUGAGACAUGGAGGUCAGGACCUGCUGGAGAACCAAAACCCGGUGUAUGAGGGAAGAACGUCAGCGUCCAUCGACCGGCUGAAGAACGGAAACGUUUCACUGAAACUCUCCAGAGUGAAACUCUCUGACGCUGGAACAUACAGAUGUUUCUUCCCAUUGUUACAUGGAGACACUUUUGUUCAGCUCGUUGUUGUUAAGUGGUGCACAGAUGUUUGUUGUUGUUGUUGUUGUUUGUUUGUUUGAUCAUCAUCAUUGUUUUCUAGGUGUAACUCUCAUUCUUCCAGUUGUGCACAUUAAAAUCAUUGUGAGCAUUGUAAUGUUAAAUCUUAACAUGCUCUCAAUCAUUUUAGCACUGAACGUAGCAUAGUAGCAUUAGCAUUUUGUCAACUCCAGUGCUAACUAUGCUAAUAUCACCACCAGUGUGUUUGAACUAUUUCAUAUUAUUCUCCAGGAUCUCCAGACACAGGUCACAGCUCUACGACAGAUAUCCAGUUAGAGUGAGACUUCUUUCUCCCGCUGUUUAUUUGAACCCAAAUUUGACCCCCUGAACAUGCUCAAACACUCUCCAAAACUGGCACGCUUGUCAGGACUGGCGAAAAAUUUGAUAAAAUGAAAAAAAUAACCUCUAAAGUGCCAAAAUGGGCUCUCUAGCGCCACCUAGACACACGAAAAUGGCCGCUGCAGCCCCUAGGAAUGUCGUAGAAAGAUCAAACCAAAACUGGCUUGUUGGUCUCAUCAAGACCUACAAAUCACACACUUAUACCCCUGAUCUAAACCAAACAGGAAGUGAGCUAUUUGACCUUUCACAGUAAGAUUUUGCCUCAAAAAUGCUCUUUUUCAAAAACUAUCUCCUCCUAGACCGCUUAUCGUAUCGGCUUCAAACUCGCACACAUAACAGCUCAACCCCUGCUGAACAACACCUCUGAAUAACUUUGUCAUUACUCAAACGGUUUGGAUUUUAUGGGCUCUUAAAGUUGAAGUGACAUCUUCGAAAGCUGUCCCAUAGGAAAUGAAUGGAGAAAGGAACCAAUCUUUGGGCUUUGUCGAGCCUUUACAGCUUCUCCAUACUUUGUGCUACAGACUCCAUUCCAACUCUCAAAUGCUGCCACAGCUACAUACAUUAUAUAUCAGUGUUUUCCAUCUCCCACACACUACUACAGCCUUUAUUACUGAUUAUACUGUUGCCACUUUUAUGAUUAUGACUGUUAAAUACAUAUUGUAACAUACUGUAAUAUAAAGUCCCUCUAUUGCCAAAAAUGACCUUGCGUACCCUUGACAUUGCUUAUUUUCUCAACAUUUCGACUCUUACGAAUAAUUUGCACUGUCUGCGUGAGCUGGAGGCCAAAACAGCGAGAGUCUGAGGUCCCACCCAACGCUGCUCGCAGCUUUAAUUUGAGUUCGACAAGAACAACGGUGUUUAUCAUAAAACCCUGAUGGGAUGUUUAGAGUCACAACAAGACAACACAGCUUCAGUUGUCUUCAGUAGAUUCAUGACUCAAACUGUGCGUACGUACAAAGACAGAUGUAUGCAUACAGAUUCUCUUCGUCAGACUGAUGGAGCAGUGCAUACGCCUGAUUCUGAUUCAGAAAUCUUGACCAUUGUGGCGCCAGGCGCACGAGCACGAGCCUCAUGUCCACACCCACACCCGUUUCCCUACCGAUACUUGUGUCCCCUCAUUAUUUACUUAAUCUACUUUACAUAUCUGCUGUGGACAUUUGAAGCGUCUGUACCAACUCAUCAUGUCUGUGACAACUCUUAACUCAAUACCCACCUUCCCUCUGCUCAGGUGCCGUCUCCUCACCUGUCAUAGUGAGUGUCAACAGAGUCAGUGACAAAGUGGAUCUGCAGUGUGAGUCUGCAGGCUGGUAUCCAGAGCCUGAGGUGUUGUGGCUGGACGGUGAGGGAGACCUCGUCUCUGCUGGACCUCCAGAGACAGUCAGAGGUCCUGAUGACCUCUAUACUGUCAGCAGCAGAGUGACUGUGGAGAAGAGACACGGCAACAGCUUCACCUGUAGAGUCCAGCAGAGGAACAUCAACCACACCACAGAGACACACAUCACAGUUUCAGCUGAGGAACUGUCUUACUGACUUUGUGAGCUUUGAACAGCUGAAUUCUGUCUGCAUGUGAAUAUAACAUCCUGUGUGUCUUCAUUUCAGACGACGUCUUUGCAGCCCCGUCUUCUGCUGCUGUGCGUGUCACCAUCAUCUUGUCUGUUUGCGUCCUGAUCUGUGCAGCUGUCCUUGUUUUGUGGAAACUGAGACAAAACAAAGAAAACAAGAAGUACGGUGACCAUGAAACUGAAGAUGGAGCAGCAGAAGGAGAGCAGCUCCUCAACACGAAGGAUUUGAUAGAGAAAAAGAAAGACAUGGAACAUGUGAUUGGAGCACUGAUGGAAGAGAAGACAGAGCUGGAGACCUCCAGAGACAAACUGGAAACACAGCUGGAGGAGGUGGAGGAGGAGAAGAAGAAGAACGAGAGGAAACUUGACAAGUUAGAGGAACAAUUUGAUGUGAAGAAACAAGAGAAAAAGUUACUUCUUUGACAGAACAAUGUGGAACUGGACAGUAAAAAUCUAGAAUAUAAGGAUUCUCUACAGAGAACUGAGGAGAAACUUGAGAAAACAGAGGGCAUGAUCCAGAGAAUAACAGAGUGGAAGAAGAAGGUAGAAAAACAGAUUGAGCAAAUGAAGAAGCCAACUCAAAUUAUUGAUUCAUUCACAUUAACAGAAAGUCACUGUUAAUCAGAGAUUCUAAUCAUUAAUUAAUUAAUGCAUUAACAGUAACAGUCCUGCAGAACACAACACAGGUGUGAUUAUAUUGAUAUACACAUACAUGUAUAUAUCAAUAUUCUGACUGUUUUUUUAUUGUGAAGUACUACUGUGACUUUUCCUUACUAAAGACAAGCUGCACAAUGUGACACCACGAUAAUAAUAAUAAUAAUAAUAAUAAUAAUAAUAAUAAUAAUAAUAUUAAUAAUUCUGACACAAUGGAUAAGGUUUUAAGAAGUGUGCAACACCUCUGUAUCAUUUUUUGUGAAACUUAAAAUGUCUUAAAAUGUUAAGUAAAUACAUUUUUGCCUUGCCAUCAUGAGAGAUUAAUUAACGUAUUUCUCUUUAUUUUUUGUUGUUCUGUAUCAAGCCACAGUGGUCUGCCCUGGUCCCUGAGUGAGGGUCAUUUGAUUGAUAAGGAAUAACUAAACAAAAGCUUGACUGAACAGAUUGUUGUUGCUUGAGAGCUUCAGGAUUGGCUGUUGCAAUAGGUGGCAUGUUUUGUUCAUGAUGUUUCCACAGCAUGUGUAUGAAUUUAUUCUAUUUCUCCAAACACUGCUUAGCCGUUGGAGGGAAGCAUGGAGCUAUAACUGAUCUCACAUUCGAGGUUAUUUACUGAACACACUGUAUCUGUGAGUUUCAUGCAUC